UGGAGCGCUUAGAAGUGAGAAUGCCGGUGUGAGUAGCGAAAGACGGGUGAGAAUCCCGUCCACCGAUUGACUAAGGUUUCCAGAGGAAGGCUCGUCCGCUCUGGGUUAGUCGGGUCCUAAGCUGAGGCCGACAGGCGUAGGCGAUGGAUAACAGGUUGAUAUUCCUGUACCACCUAUAAUCGUUUUAAUCGAUGGGGGGACGCAGUAGGAUAGGCGAAGCGUGCGAUUGGAUUGCACGUCUAA
rnacentral:rRNA from 1 species